CUUCCUACCAGGGCAGGAGUUUCAAUUUCAAGUGCUAGGUUUCCUCCUGUAAUUCCACACUUUUCAUUGUCUCAGCAAUGUGGAAGAUCAGACAGCUGAUGCUGAGCUGGGCAGUGCCCCAGACCUGCUGGCCCUGGUACAGUGGGAGCCGUGGGAGAGAUAAACUCAAGGCAAGAACAGAAGUGAAGAUAUCAUGUCUGGUCACUCUAACUGAUGAGAGAAGAUGUAACAAGGACAUUGCUGGUGCAAGAGAAUUUGCCAGAUGACUUCCUGGGGUGACUCAGCCUGCAGGCUGGCUGGCUUACCUGUCACUGCCCCUGUCCUGCACAUGUGAACGUGAGUCAAGGCAGGAUGUGGGUGGAGAUGGAAGCACAGCCCAAUUAUAGAAUGAAGAAUGAAGGUGGGAAUGCAUGAAAUAAAUAUUGGUAGAGUGCAAACUCUGGCUUUCUUCCUAAAAU